rfam:Ciona savignyi cont_24181, whole genome shotgun sequence.
UCCUCGUUAGUAUAGUGGUGAGCAUCCCCGCCUGUCACGCGGGAGACCGGGGUUCGAUUCCCCGACGGGGAG